rnacentral:ribozyme from 1 species
CUGUUUGCGACGUUCGCACAGUCUAAAUUUCCUUAUCACGUCGAUAAAGUGGACUCAAACGACACGCUUUUCGGGAACAACGACAUC